rnacentral:rRNA from 1 species
CUUGCCAUGCAUGUCAGAGACAUUAUCUUCGCGAUUAUAAUGUAAACUGGCGAACGGGUAGUAACGCGUAAACAACUUGCCUCAGAGAUUGGGACAACAUUGGGAAACCAGUGCUAAUACCAAAUAAUGCAGCGGGCUCUUCGGAGCACAGUUGUUAAAGUAGGCUUCGGCUUACACUUUGAGAUAGGUUUGCGUCCGAUUAGUUAGUUGGUAGGGUAAAAGCCUACCAAGACCCAGAUCGGUAGCUGGUCUGAGAGGAUGAUCAGCCACACUGGAAUUGAGAUGCGGUCCAGACUCCUACGGGAGGCAGCAGUAAUGAAUUUUGGCACAAUGGGGCGAAAGCCUGAAUGCAGCAAACGCCGCGGUGAACCGAAUGAAGUUCUAAGGAAUGUCAAGGUCCUGUCGUAUGGGAAGAGAAACUUUCGAUUGGUUAUACCAUAUCGCCAUGACGGUACCCUACAAGAAAAGCCCCGGCUUAACUCCGUGCCCCGCAGGCGCAC